rnacentral:rRNA from 1 species
AGACGAAUCAUCUGGAAAGAUGAAUCAAAGAAGGUAAUAAUCCUGUAGUCGAAAAUGUUGUCUCUCUUGAGUGGAUCCUGAGUACGACGGAGCACGUGAAAUUCCGUCGGAAUCUGGGAGGACCAUCUCCUAAGGCUAAAUACUCUCUAGUGACCGAUAGUGAACCAGUACCGUGAGGGAAAGGUGAAAAGCACCCCGGAAGGGGAGUGAAAUAGAACCUGAAACCGUGUGCUUACAAGUAGUCAGAGCCCGUUAAUGGGUGAUGGCGUGCCUUUUGUAGAAUGAACCGGCGAGUUACGAUUUGAUGCAAGGUUAAGCAGUAAAUGUGGAGCCGUAGCGAAAGCGAGUCUGAAUAGGGCGUUUAGUAUUUGGUCGUAGACCCGAAACCAGGUGAUCUACCCUUGGUCAGGUUGAAGUUCAGGUAACACUGAAUGGAGGACCGAACCGACUUACGUUGAAAAGUGAGCGGAUGAACUGAGGGUAGCGGAGAAAUUCCAAUCGAACCUGGAGAUAGCUGGUUCUCUCCGAAAUAGCUUUAGGGCUAGCCUCAAGUGAUGAUUAUUGGAGGUAGAGCACUGUUUGGACGAGGGGCCCCUCUCGGGUUACCGAAUUCAGACAAACUCCGAAUGCCAAUUAAUUUAACUUGGGAGUCAGAACAUGGGUGAUAAGGUCCGUGUUCGAAAGGGAAACAGCCCAGACCACCAGCUAAGGUCCCAAAAUAUAUGUUAAGUGGAAAAGGAUGUGGCGUUGCCCAGACAACUAGGAUGUUGGCUUAGAAGCAGCCAUCAUUUAAAGAGUGCGUAAUAGCUCACUAGUCGAGUGACACUGCGCCGAAAAUGUACCGGGGCUAAACAUAUUACCGAAGCUGUGGAUUGUCCUUUGGACAAUGGUAGGAGAGCGUUCUAAGGGCGUUGAAGCAUGAUCGUAAGGACAUGUGGAGCGCUUAGAAGUGAGAAUGCCGGUGUGAGUAGCGAAAGACGGGUGAGAAUCCCGUCCACCGAUUGACUAAGGUUUCCAGAGGAAGGCUCGUCCGCUCUGGGUUAGUCGGGUCCUAAGCUGAGGCCGACAGGCGUAGGCGAUGGAUAACAGGUUGAUAUUCCUGUACCACCUAUAAUCGUUUUA